UUUACCAAUCAGAAUUAAUUGGGAGCAGGUU
rnacentral:piRNA from 1 species